UACAGAGGGUGCUAGCGUUAAUCGGAUUUACUGGGCGUAAAGCGUGUGUAGGUGGUUUGUUAAGUCGGAUGUGAAAGCCCUGGGCUCAACCUGGGAACUGCAUUCGAUACUGGCAGGCUAGAGUACGGUAGAGGGAGGCGGAACUCCGGGUGUAGCGGUGAAAUGCGUAGAUAUCCGGAAGAACACCGAUGGCGAAGGCAACCUCCUGGGCCUGUACUGACACUGAGACACGAAAGCGUGGGGAGCAAACAGG
rnacentral:rRNA from 1 species